UACGAAGGGAGCUAGCGUUGUUCGGAAUCACUGGGCGUAAAGCGCACGUAGGCGGAUGUGUCAGUCAGAGGUGAAAUCCCGGAGCUCAACUUCGGAACUGCCUUUGAUACAGCACGUCUUGAGUCCGAGAGAGGUGGGUGGAAUUCCUAGUGUAGAGGUGAAAUUCGUAGAUAUUAGGAAGAACACCGGUGGCGAAGGCGGCCCACUGGCUCGGUACUGACGCUGAGGUGCGAAAGCGUGGGGAGCAAACAGG
rnacentral:rRNA from 1 species